rnacentral:misc_RNA from 1 species
GAUGAAGAACGUAGCGAAAUGCGAUACUUGGUGUGAAUUGCAGAAUCCCGUGAACCAUCGAGUCUUUGAACGCAAGUUGCGCCCGAAGCCAUUAGGCCGAGGGCACGCCUGCCUGGGUGUCACACACCGUUACCCUCGCGCCAACGUCCAUCGUUGGCCGCGGCGCGGGGCGUGCGCUGACCUCCCGCGAGCGGGGUCUCGUGGUUGGUUGAAAAUCGAGUUCGCGGUCGAGGGUGCCGUGAUGAAAUGGUGGAUGGGCGACGCCCGAGGCCAAUCACGCGCGACUCUGUCCGGCUCGGANNCCUGGACCCCUUCGGCGUCUCCGGACGCUCUUUGGCGAGACCUCAGGUCAGGCGGGGCUACCCGCUGAGUUUAAGCAUAUCAAUAAGCGGAGGA